CUACGGGAGGCAGCAGUAGGGAAUCUUCGGCAAUGGACGGAAGUCUGACCGAGCAACGCCGCGUGAGUGAAGAAGGUUUUCGGAUCGUAAAGCUCUGUUGUAAGAGAAGAACGAGUGUGAGAGUGGAAAGUUCACACUGUGACGGUAUCUUACCAGAAAGGGACGGCUAACUACGUGCCAGCAGCCGCGGUAAUACGUAGGUCCCGAGCGUUGUCCGGAUUUAUUGGGCGUAAAGCGAGCGCAGGCGGUUAGAUAAGUCUGAAGUUAAAGGCUGUGGCUUAACCAUAGUACGCUUUGGAAACUGUUUAACUUGAGUGCAGAAGGGGAGAGUGGAAUUCCAUGUGUAGCGGUGAAAUGCGUAGAUAUAUGGAGGAACACCGGUGGCGAAAGCGGCUCUCUGGUCUGUAACUGACGCUGAGGCUCGAAAGCGUGGGGAGCAAACAGGAUUAGAUACCCCGGUACUC
rnacentral:rRNA from 1 species